UACAGAGGGGGCAAGCGUUGUUCGGAAUUACUGGGCGUAAAGAGCUCGUAGGCGGCUUGUCGCGUCGACUGUGAAAACCCGCGGCUCAACCGCGGGCCUGCAGCCGAUACGGGCAGGCUAGAGUUCGGUAGGGGAGGACUGGAAUUCCUGGUGUAGCGGUGAAAUGCGCAGAUAUCGGGAGGAACACCAGUGGCGAAGGCGGCACUCCGGGCCGGUACUGACGCUGAGGAGCGAAAGCGUGGGGAGCGAACGAGG
rnacentral:rRNA from 1 species